GCGAUCAUACCAACACUAAUCCACCGGACCCCCUCAGAACUCCGCAGU
rnacentral:rRNA from 1 species